GAUUAACGCUGGCGGCGUGCAUAACACAUGCAAGUCGAACGAUGAAACUCAUUAGAAUUCUUCGGAAUGACAAUGAAUGGAUUAGUGGCGAACGGGUGAGUAACACGUGAGUAACCUGCCUUAGAGAAGGGGAUAGCCUUUGGAAACGAAGAAUAAUACCCUAUGAAAUGAUAAUAUCGCAUGAUAGUAUCAUCAAAGAUUUAUCGCUCUAAGAUGGACUUGCGCCUGAUUAGCUAGUUGGUGGAGUAAU
rnacentral:rRNA from 1 species